GCGUGAGCAAUCUACCUUAGUUACAGGGAUAGCCCGAGGAAACUCGGAUUAAUACCUGAUAUUCUUUAAAUUUCGCAUGAAGUUAAAAGGAAAGGUCAGCCGAACUAAGAUGAGCUCGCGUUCUAUCAGCUAGUUGGUGAGGUAAAAGCUCACCAAGGCUACGACGGAUAGCUGGUCUGAGAGGGCGAUCAGCCACACUGGGACUGAGACACGGCCCAGACUCCUACGGGAGGCUGCAGCAGGGAAUAUUGGACAAUGGGGGCAACCCUGAUCCAGCCAUGCCGCGUGUGUGAAGAAGGC
rnacentral:rRNA from 1 species